UACAGAGGGGGCAAGCGUUGUCCGGAAUUAUUGGGCGUAAAGAGCGUGUAGGCGGCCAGAUAAGUCCGCUGUGAAAUCUCGAGGCUCAACUUCGAGCUGUCGGUGGAAACUAUCUGGCUAGAGUCCGGAAGAGGAGAAUGGAAUUCCUGGUGUAGCGGUGAAAUGCGCAGAUAUCAGGAAGAACACCAGUGGCGAAGGCGGCUCACUGGAUCGGUACUGACGCUGAGGUGCGAAAGCGUGGGGAGCAAACAGG
rnacentral:rRNA from 1 species